UACAGAGGGUGCUAGCGUUAAUCGGAUUUACUGGGCGUAAAGCGUGUGUAGGCGGUUUGUUAAGUCGGGUGUGAAAUCCCUGGGCUCAACCCGGGAAUUGCAUUCGAUACUGGCAAGCUAGAGUACGGUAGAGGGCGGCGGAAUUCCGGGUGUAGCGGUGAAAUGCGUAGAUAUCCGGAGGAACACCGAUGGCGAAGGCAACCGCCUGGGCCUGUACUGACGCUGAGACACGAAAGCGUGGGGAGCAAACAGG
rnacentral:rRNA from 1 species